rnacentral:lncRNA from 1 species
GGUCCCUCAGCCCCUCAGUGCCCUCCCGGAGCCCUUUACCUGAAAGGGACCCUGAGAGAACGGACGACAGGAGCCGAGUCGAAAGCAGUGUCCGCGCCGGAGGUCAGCGCCGAAGGCGGGCCCCGGCGUCUAGGGACCACAGAGCGGCGACGCGGCCAGCCGCGCACGGGCCAUUCCGCCGCCGCGAACGCAGAAAGCCUCGAUCGCGCUCCGAGUCCAGCCAGCUCGCCUGUCACCUCGAUCUCUGCUUUAAGUGGCUUCCGGUCGCCUCCUCCCGACGGCCGGUCGCGGAGGCGGAGCCUAGGAGGCCGGAGCGCGGUGGGGUGGGGUGAGGAGGCCGGGCGCUCAGUGGGUGCCGAGAAGAAGACCCGCCCCCUGCGCGCGCGUGCGCGUUCGUUCCAGGGGAGGUGCGCGGGUUGUGUGCCGUGGACUUGUAUUCCCGCGAGGGGGCGUGUCCUUUCUCGCGCCGGCGGUGUCCCCGCGGGUCCGCGUCUCCACGCGGCUGUGAGAAAGGAAGGCGUGUGCCGCGUGGGACGGGUUCCACCUGCCUGCGGACAGAUGAAUAAUAACAGGAUGGAGAUGGAGUUUCAUGACAAAAAGGAAGAGUGUUCAUUCCCUCAGGAAGAAGCAGAGUUUGAGACACCAUCUUGGAAGCGGAGACCUGGCCCUUGCUGGAC